rnacentral:rRNA from 1 species
ACUCCUACGGGAGGCAGCAGUGGGGAAUAUUGCACAAUGGGGGAAACCCUGAUGCAGCCAUGCCGCGUGUGUGAAGAAGGCCUUCGGGUUGUAAAGCACUUUCAGUAGGGAGGAAGGUAGUGUAGUUAACACCUGCAUUAUUUGACGUUACCUACAGAAGAAGCACCGCUGAACUCGAUGCCAGCAGCCGCGGGUAAUACGGAGGGUGCGAGCGUUAAUCGGAAUUACUGGGCGUAAAGCGCAUGCAGGCGGCCUGUUAAGUCAGAUGUGAAAGCCCGGGGCUUAACCUCGGAAUUGCAUUUGAAACUGGCAGGCUAGAGUCUUGUAGAGGGGGGUAGAAUUUCAGGUGUAGCGGUGAAAUGCGUAGAGAUCUGAAGGAAUACCAGUGGCGAAGGCGGCCCCCUGGACAAAGACUGACGCUCAGAUGCGAAAGCGUGGGGAGCAAACAGGAUUAGAU